AUUGAACGCUGGCGGCAGGCCUAACACAUGCAAGUCGAGCAGAAACGAUCCUAGCUUGCUAGGAGGCGUCGAGCGGCGGACGGGUGAGUAACGCGUGAGAAUCUACCCAUGAGUGGGGGACAACCCGGGGGAAACUCGGGCUAAUACCGCAUACGCCCUACGGGGUAAAGCAGGGGACCUUCGGGCCUUGCGCUGAUGGAUGAGCUCGCGUCGGAUUAGCUUGUUGGUGAGGUAAAGGCUCACCAAGGCGACGAUCCGUAGCUGGUCUGAGAGGAUGAUCAGCCACACCGGGACUGAGACACGGCCCGGACUCCUACGGGAGGCAGCAGUGGGGAAUCUUGGACAAUGGGGGCAACCCUGAUCCAGCCAUGCCGCGUGUGUGAAGAAGGCCUUCGGGUUGUAAAGCACUUUCAGCAGGGAGGAAGGCUUACCCCUAAUACGGGUGAGUACUUGACGUUACCUGCAGAAGAAGCACCGGCUAAUUUCGUG
rnacentral:rRNA from 1 species